rnacentral:rRNA from 1 species
UGCAGAAUUCGCCUUAGAGUUUGAUCCUGGCUCAGGAUGAACGCUGGCGGUAUGCUUUACACAUGCAAGUCGUACGAGAGUUUUUAACUCAAGUGGCGGACGGGUGAGUAACACGUAAGAAUUUGCCUUUAGGAGGGGGAUAACAACUGGAAACGGUUGCUAAUACCCCAUAUGCUUUCGAGUAAAAUGGAUUUUCCGCCUAAAGAGAAGCUUGCGGCUGAUUAGCUUGUUGGUGAGGUAAUGGCUCACCAAGGCGACGAUCAGUAUCUGGUUUGAGAGGACGAUCAGACACACUGGAACUGAGACACGGUCCAGACUCCUACGGGAGGCAGCAGUGGGGAAUUUUCCGCAAUGGGCGAAAGCCUGACGGAGCAAUACCGCGUGAGGGAUGACGGCCUAUGGGUUGUAAACCUCUUUUUUCAGGGAGGAAUCAAUGACGUGUACCUGAAGAAUAAGCAUCGGCUAACUCCGUGCCAGCAGCCGCGGUAAGACGGAGGAUGCAAGUGUUAUCCGGAAUCACUGGGCGUAAAGCGUCUGUAGGUGGUCAAAUAAGUCAACUGUUAAAUCUUGAGGCUCAACCUCAAAAUCGCAGUCGAAACUAUUCGACUAGAGUAUAGUAGGGGUAAAGGGAAUUUCCAGUGGAGCGGUGAAAUGCGUAGAGAUUGGAAAGAACACCGAUGGCGAAGGCACUUUACUGGGCUAUUACUAACACUGAGAGACGAAAGCUAGGGUAGCAAAUGGGAUUAGAUACCCCAGUAGUCCUAGCCGUAAACAAUGGAUACUAGAUGUUGAACAGAUCGACCUGUGCAGUAUCAAAGCUAACGCGUUAAGUAUCCCGCCUGGGAAGUAUGCUCGCAAGAGUGAAACUCAAAUGAAUUGACGGGGAAGGGC